rnacentral:misc_RNA from 1 species
GAUGAAGAACGCAGUGAAAUGUGAUACGUAGUGUGAAUUGCAGAAUUCAGUGAAUCAUCGAAUCUUUGAACGCACAUUGCACCUCUCGGUAUUCCGGGAGGUAUGCCUGUUCGAGCGUCAUUUGUACCCUCAAGCUCUGCUUGGUGUUGGGUGUUUGUUCCGCCUCUGUGUGUGAACUCGCCUCAAAACAAUUGGCAGCCGGCGUACUUGUUUCGGAGCGCAGCACAUUUUGCGAUCCAGAUCAACGUACAGCGGCAUCCAAGAAGCCUUAUUUAACGCUCUUGACCUCGGAUCAGGUAGGGAUACCCGCUGAACUUAAGCAUAUCAAUAAGCGGAGGA